rnacentral:rRNA from 1 species
CUACGGGACGCUGCAGUAAGGAAUAUUGCGCAAUGGAGGCAACUCUGACGCAGCCAUGCCGCGUGCAGGAAGAUGGUCUUAUGGGUCGUAAACUGCUUUUAUUUAGGAAUAAACCCCCGAACGUGUUCGGGGCUGAAGGUACUAAACGAAUAAGCACCGGCUAACUCCGUGCCAGCAGCCGCGGUAAUACGGAGGGUGCAAGCGUUAUCCGGAUUUAUUGGGUUUAAAGGGUGCGCAGGCGGGCUAUUAAGUCAGUGGUGAAAUCCCGGGGCUCAACUCCGGAACUGCCAUUGAUACUGAUAGUCUUGAGUUUGGUUGAAGUGGGCGGAAUGUAGCAUGUAGCGGUGAAAUGCAUAGAUAUGCUACAGAACACCAAUCGCGAAGGCAGCUCACUAAGCCAAAACUGACGCUCAUGCACGAAAGCGUGGGGAUCAAACAGGAUUAGAUACCCCGGUAGUC